CUUGAAGCUUGCUGUCCCUCCAUCUCUUCCAGCUGUGUGGAGUUAUCGUGAGAUCAACUGGCUGGAACUUGGUGGCGUAUGAACAGCAAAGUGUUUUCAGGCCUCCAAAAAGAAGGCUGAUUAGUCAAUGGAUGCCACCGGUCAUAGCUUCCGAGGAGCAGAGCUGCAGAUAUUGAACCUAAGGUGGGACUAUUGAGGUAAUCACAGCACCAGAGGAAUCCAGCUCAAGGCUGAGUCUGAGACUGGGAGAAUCUUGUGAAUGCACCUUGAGAGAAAGAGGUGACAUUUGAGCCUGAGAUGUGAGUGGGGGCGAACUCAAAGAGACCAGGAGUCAGAGGUGCAGAUAGACUUGUCAUGGUGACAACAACAUCAAAAAAUAUCCCAAACCCCUUGUAUAGUAUUACUAUAGCAUUA